rnacentral:rRNA from 1 species
CAGUCGCCGCGGUAAAACGAAGGGUGCAAGCGUUAAUCGGAAUUACUGGGCGUAAAGCGCGCGUAGGUGGUUUGGUAAGAUGGAUGUGAAAUCCCCGGGCUCAACCUGGGAACUGCAUCCAUAACUGCCUGACUAGAGUACGGUAGAGGGUGGUGGAAUUUCCUGUGUAGCGGUGAAAUGCGUAGAUAUAGGAAGGAACACCAGUGGCGAAGGCGACCACCUGGACUGAUACUGACACUGAGGUGCGAAAGCGUGGGGAGCAAACAGGAUUAGAUACCCCAGUAGUCCCUGUCUCUUAUAC